GAUGAACGCUGGCGGCGUGCCUAAUACAUGCAAGUAGAACGCUGAAGGAGGAGCUUGCUCUUUCCGGAUGAGUUGCGAACGGGUGAGUAACGCGUAGGUAACCUGCCUGGUAGCGGGGGAUAACUAUUGGAAACGAUAGCUAAUACCGCAUAACAGUAGAUAUUGCAUGAUAUCUGCUUGAAAGGGGCAAUUGCUCCACUACCAGAUGGACCUGCGUUGUAUUAGCUAGUUGGUGAGGUAACGGCUCACCAAGGCGACGAUACAUAGCCGACCUGAGAGGGUGAUCGGCCACACUGGGACUGAGACACGGCCCAGACUCCUACGGGAGGCAGCAGUAGGGGAUCUUCGGCAAUGGACGGAAGUCUGACCGAGCAACGCCGCGUGAGUGAAGAAGGUUUUCGGAUCGUAAAGCUCUGUUGUAAGAGAAGAACGAGUGUGAGAGUGGAAAGUUCACACUGUGACGUAUCUACCAGAAAGG
rnacentral:rRNA from 1 species